UACGCAGGGGGCUAGCGUUGUUCGGAAUUACUGGGCGUAAAGCGCGCGCAGGCGGUCUUCCAAGUCAGUGGUGAAAGCCCGGAGCUCAACUCCGGAACUGCCAUUGAAACUGUUAGACUUGAGGACGAGAGAGGUGAGUGGAAUUCCCAGUGUAGAGGUGAAAUUCGUAGAUAUUGGGAAGAACACCGGUGGCGAAGGCGGCUCACUGGCUCGUAUCUGACGCUCAGGCGCGAUAGCGUGGGGAUCAAACAGG
rnacentral:rRNA from 1 species